rnacentral:rRNA from 1 species
CUGCUGCCUCCCGUAGGAGUUUGGGCCGUGUCUCAGUCCCAAUGUGGCCGUCCACCCUCUCAGGCCGGCUACUGAUCGUCGCCUUGGUGGGCCGUUACCCCGCCGACAAGCUAAUCAGACGCGGGUCCAUCUUACACCACCGGAGUUUUUCACACAAAUCCAUGCGGCUUCGUGCGCUUAUGCGGUAUUAGCACCUAUUUCUAAGUGUUAUCCCCCAGUGUAAGGCAGGUUACCCACGCGUUACUCACCCGUCCGCCACUAAGAUUUUA